GGUAGUGUAACCGUAUUUCAUUUUAGGAGGUGUAGUUUUUUCUUUUGAGGUGUUGUUCCCCAGAGAAAAUUUUGUUGGUAGCGAUUGAGUUGGGAGAGAAUAUUGUUGGGGAUUGUUAUAUAUUACAUGACAUGAUUGGGUAGGUGGUUGAGGGUAGAACGGAUUAGAGUGGUACGUCCUGCCUUAGUCAAGAAUUUUGUUUUCCACUCUGCAAGUCUAUUUUUGAAGUUAUCCAAUAGGAAUUGGAAAUCUGAUUUUGAGGGUUGCUUAACAAAUAUGGGGAACCCUAAAUAUUUUCCAAAAGUUUUCCCUUCGUGCAUAUGAAAAAGGUGUAACACUGAGGGUUUAGUGGUGGUUGAGCAAUUUUUUGAGAAAAAGAUUUUGGAUUUGUGAAAAUUAAUAUUUUGUCCUGAGUGAGCUGUAAAAUGAUUGAGAGUGUCAAUUAUGGAGUUGCAGGUAAGAGGUGUAAUUUUUGCAGUGAGAAUAAUAUCAUACGCAAAGAAUAGAUGGGAUAUUAACGGGCAUCUACUAGCCAAGGAUAUGGAUUGCCAAGAGCGAUAGUCCACCGCCGUAUUUAUACUUCGGGAGAGCAUUUCCAGACAGAGGAUGAAUAGGUAUGGUGAUAGUGGAUCCCCUUGACGGAUGUCUCACGAUGGUUUAAAAUAGUUAGUAGGGUUGCCGUUGAUUAGGAUCGGGGUGGAGGUGGUUGUGACACAAGACAUAAUGAGUUUGAUAAAAUUUGGAGGAAACUUUAGUGAAACUAAGGUAUGUUGUAUGAAUGACCAUUCUAGUUUAUCAAAAGCUUUCUCAAGAUCUAAUUUGAGAAGCAUAUGUGGAGUGUUCCCUUUCAUUUUACGGAAACGAGACAUUAGUUCUUGAACAAUAAUUGCAUUAUCUGCAUCUCGUCUAUUUUUCUGAAAACUGGAUUGGGUGGGAUUUAUAAGAUGUUGCAGAAUCGGUUUAGUCGAUUGACAAUAAUUUUUAUAAUAAAUUUAUAAAUAGUAUUACAAAGGCUUAUUAAAUUGUGACAUAGAAGAAGCAUGUUUGUGUUUGGGAAUUAAGCAAAUGAGAGUGUUGUUUAUAGAAGGUUCGAUCCUAUGAUCAUUAAAGAUUUUGUGGCAAAAAUAUUUGAUUGAAGUGUCGAUAGUGUUCCAAUAUUUUUGGGAGAAGUAUGGGUGUAGCCCAUCUAGGCCAGGUGCUUUUAAGGGUUUGAAAGAGUGUUAUGCAUCUAAAAUCUCCUUGUCUUGAAGUGGGCUAUCCAGAGAAAUUUGAUUGGCCGGAGUUAAUACAUUAGAAGGGUGCAUGUGGUUUUGUCUAUAGUUAAUAAUUGAUUUUGUGGUAAAGAUAAUUUGAUAAUAAUUGGUAAUAUGAUUUUUAAUGUGGUGGGGAUCAGUUAUCCAAUUUCCACCUAGGUCUUGUAUAGCCGUGAUACAAUUAUGGCGUCUACGAUUUAAAGUGGAGAGAUGAAAACAUUUUGUGUUUGCAUCUCCUUCAUUUAAUCAGUUUAUACGCGAUUUAAUUUUCAAAAGUCUUCUUCUUGCUUAAGGAGGUGUUUAAAGUCGAAUAAUAACUAACGUUCCAACUCUUGGAGGAAUAUGCUAGUGGGAUAAUUGAUGGAGGAUUGGAUGCCCGCCAGACGAGCUAAGAGUCUUUUUUUUUUUUACAUUUGAAUAUGUUUCCAAAAGUGGUUUUGUUCCAUUCUUGGACUGUUUCAGUAAAUUGUGCAAUAGCUGAUAGUAGAUGGGGUGGGCUUGCCAAGCUUGUUGAACUAUUGCGGGAGAAGUUGGGUGAGAGGCCCAAAUUAUUUCAAAUCUGAAGAGCUUUUGGCGAGGUAAAGGACGGUAGUUCAGUUGAAGUAAUAGUGGGCAAUGGUCGGAAUGUGUAUGGGGAGGUGUGUAACUAGUGCAUCAGGUUAGUGAUUUAUCCAAUCAUAAUUUGCGAGGAAACGAUCUAUACGUUCUAGAAUAUUAUGUCUAUUGGAACGACUGUUAGUCCAAGUAUAACGGCUGCCUUUGUAACCUAGGUCACUUAGGUGGCAAUAAUUAAUGCAGUCAAGGAAUUUAUUUGAGCGAGAAAUAUUUAUUGUUCUUCCCCCAAAUUUGUCGGAUGCAUGAGUUAUUUCAUUAAAGUCCCCUCCUAUUAGCCAUGGCCCCUUAUAAUUAUCAUAUAGGCACAUGAGAUUUUCCCAAAGAAGUUGUUUAUUUAAAGAUUUUGUGCUAGCAUAUAUGACAGUAAAUAAUCAUUUGUAAGGGAGGGGAUUUACCUGAAUUUUACAAUGAAUCUCUUGAUGGGGGUUUACCUGAAUUUUACAAUGCCACAAAAUUGCAAUUCCUCCAGAUUGUCCCACAGCGGCCACCUCAGCCAUUCCCGUAAAGUGAAAGUCCUCUUUCAAGGUUUGGUGCUCAACACGGUGUGUUUCAAGUAAAGCGACUAAAGAUGGAGGAUGAUAAUCAAGUGGAGAGUGAAAAUUACGUCUAAAUUCAGGAGAUUGAGCUCCUCUACAGUUCCAUAUGAUGAAAUUCAUAUAAUUAUUGGAUUGAUUAGGCAGUUGGCUGCCCUGCAUGUCCUCCUGGGUGUUGUUGUGCUCCCCUGGGCGUAGAUGGAGUGUGGGAAUCAGUAGUAUUGCAUACUUUCCCACCUCUGGAUUUGUUGUAGGUCGUAUGCGGAGGGAGCAUCGUAGGAGGUUUGGAGGGCAAUUUAGAUGUAUUUUUCUUGCGUACUCCUCCUUCUGGACAAAGACUUUGAUGCCGUCGAGCCAAGCUAAGACUGGGCGUGUUUCCCUGUUGUAGGUCAUCAUUGCUGCCACUUCUUGUUGAAAAUCGUCGUUUUAUGCGGUGAGAUUGUGAGGAGGUGGCGGGGUUUGUGGUGGGGAUUGGGUAGGCGAGGUCAGUGGUUCCAUUAGUGUGACUGGUGGAGCUGGUAGAAAGUAUGGUUGUAUCCAAGGUGUUGAGGGGGUUAGUUGUGUUGGCGGGUAGAAUGGCAUUUGAAUGAUAUUGGGAUAUAGGUGGGUUGUGUCCCAGGUUGGCGUUGGUGGAUUUAGAGGUUGGUAGGGUGCUAGAUAUGGGGCUUGCAUCAUAAACCAAUGGUACCUGCCAUAGAUGUCUGUCCCUAAUCGCAUCCCCUCCGUGAUUAUUUGAGCAAGGUACAUCGGGCUGUUGAUGAGAAUUGUUACUUCUUGAUUGUUUACUUCCAUGGUGAAGGUGAGAGCAUGGUUUUGGAGUCCCACUUCCAACCAAGAUGUUGGGUUGGUCAUUGCAUGGGGUGUUUAGGCUAGGAAUAUUCUGGUAUUUGAGUUGUGGAGGAGGAGUUGAGUGUGAGGUUCGUUGAUUCACUAGUCUGUGAGUAGUGUUCCUGUUGUGGUAGUUGGUUCUUCUGUGUGGCUGGGGAAAUUGAGUGGGAUA
rnacentral:lncRNA from 1 species